rnacentral:rRNA from 1 species
AGAACGAACGCUGGCGGCAGGCUUAACACAUGCAAGUCGAACGCUCGUAGCAAUACGGGAGUGGCAGACGGGUGAGUAACGCGUGGGAACAUACCCUCCGGUUCGGAAUAGCUCAGGGAAACUUGGAUUAAUACCGGAUACGGCCGAGAGGCGAAAGAUUUAUCGCCGGAGGAUUGGCCCGCGUUCGAUUAGCUAGUUGGUGAGGUAACGGCUCACCAAGGCGAUGAUCGAUAGCUGGUCUGAGAGGAUGAUCAGCCACAUUGGGACUGAGACACGGCCCAAACUCCUACGGGAGGCAGCAGUGGGGAAUCUUGCACAAUGGGCGAAAGCCUGAUGCAGCGACGCCGCGUGGGGGAUGAAGCUUUUCGGAGUGUAAACCCCUUUCGAUCCGGACGAAUGCCUCGCAAGAGGAGUGACGGUACGGAUAUAAGAAGCCCCGGCUAACUACGUGCCAGCAGCCGC